UACGGAGGAUGCAAGCGUUAUCCGGAAUUAUUGGGCGUAAAGCGUCUGCAGGUGGCAGUUCAAGUCUGCUGUCAAAGACCGGGGCUUAACUUCGGAAAGGCAGUGGAAACUGAACAGCUAGAGUAUGGUAGGGGCAGAGGGAAUUCCUGGUGUAGCGGUGAAAUGCGUAGAGAUCAGGAAGAACAUCGGUGGCGAAGGCGCUCUGCUGGACCAUAACUGACACUCAGGGACGAAAGCUAGGGGAGCGAAUGGG
rnacentral:rRNA from 1 species